rnacentral:tRNA from 1 species
GCAGGAAUGGCGGAAUUGGCAGACGCGCAGGCUUCAGGUGCCUGUGGGAGCAAUCUCAUGAGGGUUCAAGUCCCUUUUCCUGCACGA